rnacentral:rRNA from 1 species
GCCCGUCGCUACUACCGAUUGAAUGGCUGAGUGAGGCCUUCGGACUGGCCCAGGGAGGUCGGCAACGACCACCCAGGGCCGGAAAGUUGGUCAAACUCCGUCAUUUAGAGGAAGUAAAAGUCGUAACAAGGUUUCCGUAGGUGAACCUGCGGAAGGAUCAUUA